rnacentral:pre_miRNA from 1 species
GUAUUACUCCCUCCGUCCCAAAAUUCUUGUCUUAGAUUUGUCUAAAUACGGAUGUAUCAAGUCACGUUUUAGUAUUAGAUACAUCCGUAUCUAGACGAAUCUAAGACAAGAAUUUUAAGACGGAGGGAGUACAAU